UACGAAGGGGGCUAGCGUUGCUCGGAAUCACUGGGCGUAAAGGGUGCGUAGGUGGAUAUUUAAGUCAGGGGUGAAAUCCUGGAGCUCAACUCCAGAACUGCCUUUGAUACUGAGUAUCUUGAGUUCGGGAGAGGUAAGUGGAACUGCGAGUGUAGAGGUGAAAUUCGUAGAUAUUCACAAGAACACCAGUGGCGAAGGCGGCUUACUGGCCCGAUACUGACACUGAGGCACGAAAGCGUGGGGAGCAAACAGG
rnacentral:rRNA from 1 species